rnacentral:rRNA from 1 species
AUGCAAGUCGAAUGCCGAUUUAUCGGCAUGGCAGACGGCUGAGUAACACAUGGGAAUCUACCUCAAACUCGAGAAUAGCCCAUCGAAAGGUGGUGUAAUACUCGAUAGUUCCGUUUACGGUAAAGCUCCGGCGGUUUGAGAUGAGCCCAUGUCCUAUCAGGUUGUUGGUGGGGUAAUUGCCUACCAAGCCUAUGACGGGUAGCUGGUUUGAGAGGAUGAUCAGCCAGACUGGGACUGCGAUACGGCCCAGACUCCUACGGGAGGCAGCAACUAGGAAUCAUGCGCAAUGGACGAAAGUCUGACGCUGCGACGUCGCGUGAGGGAUGAAGGUCUUAGGAUCGUAAACCUCUUUUAUCUGGGAACAAGUUCUGAGUGUACCAGAUGAAUAAGUGCCUGCCAACCACGUGCCAGAAGCAUCGGUAAUGCGUGGGGCACGAGCGUUAUCCGGAUUUACUGGGCGUAAAGAGAUGCGUAGGCGCCUUUUUAAGUCACUUGUAAAAUCUCCCCGCUCAACGGGGAAACUGCAAGUGAUACUGAAUUGGUUGAGUCAAGUAGAGGAGAGGGGAAUUCCUGGUGGAGCGGUUAAAUGCGUUGAUAUCAGGAGGAAUACCAAGUGCGAAGGCACCUCUCUGGACUUGUACUGACGCUAAGGCUCGAAAGUGUGGGGAGCAAAACGGAUUAGAUACCCGUGUAGUCCACACUGUAAACGAUCCCUGCUAGAUGUU